AAUAAAAUAAUAAAAUAUUAUUUAUAUAUAAUAAAAUAAUAAUAAAAGAAAUCCUACUAAUAUUUGAACUGAUAUUAAAUAAGUAUACAAUCACACCCCAUUUAAAAAGAAAACCUCUCUUGAAUCACCUCUGCCGUCAACUAAAUCAGGGUUAAAAGCCACCAUUGUUACAACCUCUUGCUACGCACAAAACUUUUCUAAAACAAUCGGGAAAAGCAGAGUCUUUUUAGGCACACAAGUCGAAGUCCUUACAAUCAAAAUCCCUUGUAGCGAUGUUGGAUUACCUGAAGGGAUCGAGAGUGUUCACAUGGUCUCUUCACCCGAAAAUAGACUCAAAUUCUUCUCUUGGGCCCGAAACGUUGCUGCCGAAUCUGGGAUCCCAACUCUUAUAUUCCAUUCCACACGCUAUUCUUUUAAGAGACAAGGAUAAGCAAGAGUUGAUUUCUAGGGAGAAAAAGGAUAGACGUAACUUUGAGGAAAUAUCUGCUUUGGCGAGCAAAGUGGGACUCUAUAGUUAAUCUCUCUAGAUAUCGGUUCAUUGCUUGCUGGUGCCAAGUUUCGAGGGGAUUUUGAGGAAAGGUUGAAAUAGGGGUUCAUUGCUUGAUGGUGCCAAGUUUAGAGGGGAUUGCAACAUCUUUAUUCUCUGUACUAUAUACUAGGAGAAUGCUUUUCACAUCCAUAUAUAAUCAAGCUAAUAAAUUCUUCUUUUCUUGGAUCUGAUUGUCUGAAUGAUACGAGCUGCUAUUUUAUUUUUUAUCUAUUUCUUAUUUAUUA